rnacentral:misc_RNA from 1 species
UUUUUUUUUUUUUUUUUUUAAGACAGAAGAGAGGCAUUUUCAUUCCUUACUAUGUUUCGAGCAUGGCGCAGAAAUAAAGAAAAGCAUCAGAAAUACAUCUGCAAUACUUGGAUAAUGGAUUCACCAUUUUCCCAAAAAGGAUAUGAACCACACCAAAGCUAUGCCAGAAGCAUGUAUAAAAUAUACAAGGUAGUUAUUUGAAGGUCUUUUUCUGCUCCACUGUAUUUCCCUUCCCUCCCUCUUUUAGAACUAAGCCAACUCUGCCUGCUGCUACAUGUCUACCUAAAAACUGGGCAACCUUUGACCAUGAUGCCUGGUGCCGUUGGACAUGUAGCCAAAGGACAGUGAUCAAUAUCUGUACCCCACCACUUCAAAAUUUUUCCUUCAUUUUGCAGAGCAAAGAACAAUAAUACACCCAUGAAAGCCGUUCCAGCAUCCAAUGCCGCGGACAGAACAUAGUUAUAUUUCUGCCACCAGCGUUUGUGAUAUCGGAAUACAAAGUAGUUGAAGAUUGUUCCAGUGAUAAGCCAACUUGCUAUGUUGGUGGGAGUUGCAGGUGGCAUUCCAGCAAAACCAUAAGAUAUAACUGGUAUAUUAAUCAAUGGAAUCCAUGUCUUCUCAGGGAACAUUUUGCUCAGUAUCCAAACAGGUACUGGCAAGAAAGCACCAAUGAGGAAUAACCAUACCAGAUUAUGGUACAUCCCUCCAGGUCCGAAGAGUCUUCUGGGACCAAUCAGGCCCCAGAUGACUGAAGCAUCGAAAGUGACUCGGUAUUUAGGACAGGUCCAAGGACUUUCAGGAUGGCUUCCUUCAACAUCACAUAUGUUUUCAAUAUUCUCCAACAUCCACCAUGCAACUGCAAGAUUGACAGUACCAGCAACCAAAGUUCCCACCAACUGAGCUACACCAACCACCAAAUUAUCAGCAUCAUGUAAUGCCCAAGUUUAAGGUCAGAUAAGAAAGAAAGGGCAUGGAUUGUGCUAAUUCGCCCAUAAAUCUUGAAAAGCAAAUUUGCAAUGGGUUUUCCUGGUAGUACAUACCCAAUUAUGAACUGCGCUAUUAUAUCGUAUCCUGGUUGCUGGUUGGUAGUUGCUUGAAUGACCCCAAUAGGAAGAGUAACAAUCCACGCCAAGCCAAAGGCAAAGAUCAUACCCCACCAUUGAAGCUGCACAUCUUUAUGCCACACAAAGGACAUCAAUAGAGAUAGGACAAUGCUCCCUACCAAUAAAAUUAAGAACCACCAUUCAGGCACUUGUUUGUAACUUUGCAUCAAUUUUGCAUGAAUGUCCAGUUUCGCAUUCUUCAUUGCUGAUCUACUUUGCCUCAAAAUAUCUCUUCCAUGAAACAAAGCCACAUGAGUGAGAGUUGCGGUAAACCUUGCAAAUCCUGAUCCAAUGGAGAGGGCAAAGAGAGGGCUAAGAUAGAGCUUCCCAUAACUAUCAUAAGCAGGAACAUUGAGUUGAUAAUCAGGGGUUAAGAUCUUUGUGGUAUCAUAUUUGUUUCCACUCGAAGUGAACAGCUGAUUGGAAAAUAUUGGAAACUUUCGAGCAUCAAAAGUGUUAUACUUCCAAUAACACAGAGGGACUAUUAUGUAGAUAAACAUGACAAAUCCAAUCCCAACAUUGAGAAUGGAUGACCAGGGCGUCACCAGGGGGCUGCCAUGGUAUGCUGAAAUGCCAGCCCAAUCAAGGGUGAAAGCACCAAUUCCUAGCCCAUGGUAACCUGAUCCUAUUUGUUGAGCUGUGAUGCUGUGAGGCCAUAUCCAGCAGACCCAAGAGAAAAAUGUCAAUAUUGGGAACAAGUAGCCAGGGAGUGCAUAAUAAAGAAAGCUUGCUGUCAUCACUAUAAGGAAGAAUCGCAUUCGAGUCAUUCCUUUCCUUCUCGGUUCCUUUUCAUGAAGAGCUCUAAAUAAAGAAACCUGAGCAAGAUUUGAAGGCCACCACAUUUCAACAGGAUCAACAAGAUAUCUCCUGAGCAUCCCAGCCCAUCCAUAUCCCAAUAUCUGAG